GGGUUGUGAGGUUAAGCGACUAAGCGUACACGGUGGAUGCCCUGGCAGUCAGAGGCGAUGAAGGACGUGCUAAUCUGCGAAAAGCGUCGGUAAGGUGAUAUGAACCGUUAUAGCCGGCGAUGUCCGAAUGGGGAAACCCAGUGCAAUUCGUUGCACUAUCGUUUGAUGAAUACAUAGUCAAACGAGGCGAACCGGGGGAACUGAAACAUCUAAGUACCCCGAGGAAAAGAAAUCAACCGAGAUUCCCCCAGUAGCGGCGAGCGAACGGGGAGCAGCCCGGAGUCUGAAUCAGCUUGUGUGUUAGUGGAAGCGUCUGGAAAGUCGCAGGGUACAGGGUGAUACUCCCGUACACUAAAGCACACAGGCUGUGAACUCGAAGAGUAGGGCGGGACACGUGGUAUCCUGUCUGAAUAUGGGGGGACCAUCCUCCAAGGCUAAAUACUCCUGACUGACCGAUAGUGAACCAGUACCGUGAGGGAAAGGCGAAAAGAACCCCGGCGAGGGGAGUGAAAAAGAACCUGAAACCGUGUACGUACAAGCAGUAGGAGCCUCUUUAUGGGGUGACUGCGUACCUUUUGUAUAAUGGGUCAGCGACUUAUAUUCUGUAGCAAGGUUAACCGUAUAGGGGAGCCGCAGGGAAACCGAGUCUUAACUGGGCGUUAAGUUGCAGGGUAUAGACCCGAAACCCGGUGAUCUAGCCAUGGGCAGGUUGAAGGUUGGGUAACACUAACUGGAGGACCGAACCGACUAAUGUUGAAAAAUUAGCGGAUGACUUGUGGCUGGGGUGAAAGGCCAAUCAAACCGGGAGAUAGCUGGUUCUCCCCGAAAGCUAUUUAGGUAGCGCCUCGUGAAUUCAUCUUCGGGGGUAGAGCACUGUUUCGGCUAGGGGGUCAUCCCGACUUACCAACCCGAUGCAAACUACGAAUACCGAAGAAUGUUAUCACGGGAGACACACGGCGGGUGCUAACGUCCGUCGUGAAGAGGGAAACAACCCAGACCGCCAGCUAAGGUCCCAAAGUCAUGGUUAAGUGGGAAACGAUGUGGGAAGGCCCAGACAGCCAGGAUGUUGGCUUAGAAGCAGCCAUCAUUUAAAGAAAGCGUAAUAGCUCACUGGUCGAGUCGGCCUGCGCGGAAGAUGUAACGGGGCUAAACCAUGCACCGAAGCUGCGGCAGCGACACUAUGUGUUGUUGGGUAGGGGAGCGUUCUGUAAGCCGUUGAAGGUGGCCUGUGAGGGUUGCUGGAGGUAUCAGAAGUGCGAAUGCUGACAUAAGUAACGAUAAUGCGGGUGAAAAACCCGCACGCCGGAAGACCAAGGGUUCCUGUCCAACGUUAAUCGGGGCAGGGUGAGUCGACCCCUAAGGCGAGGCCGAAAGGCGUAGUCGAUGGGAAACAGGUUAAUAUUCCUGUACUCGGUGUUACUGCGAAGGGGGACGGAGAAGGCUAUGUUGGCCGGGCGACGGUUGUCCCGGUUUAAGCAUGUAGGCGGAUGUUCCAGGUAAAUCCGGAACGUUAUCAACGCUGAGGUGUGAUGACGAGGCACUACGGUGCUGAAGUGACAAAUGCCCUGCUUCCAGGAAAAGCCUCUAAGCAUCAGGUAACAUCAAAUCGUACCCCAAACCGACACAGGUGGUCAGGUAGAGAAUACCAAGGCGCUUGAGAGAACUCGGGUGAAGGAACUAGGCAAAAUGGUGCCGUAACUUCGGGAGAAGGCACGCUGAUAUGUAGGUGAAGUGGUUUACCCAUGGAGCUGAAAUCAGUCGAAGAUACCAGCUGGCUGCAACUGUUUAUUAAAAACACAGCACUGUGCAAACACGAAAGUGGACGUAUACGGUGUGACGCCUGCCCGGUGCCGGAAGGUUAAUUGAUGGGGUUAUCCGUAAGGAGAAGCUCUUGAUCGAAGCCCCGGUAAACGGCGGCCGUAACUAUAACGGUCCUAAGGUAGCGAAAUUCCUUGUCGGGUAAGUUCCGACCUGCACGAAUGGCGUAAUGAUGGCCAGGCUGUCUCCACCCGAGACUCAGUGAAAUUGAACUCGCUGUGAAGAUGCAGUGUACCCGCGGCAAGACGGAAAGACCCCGUGAACCUUUACUAUAGCUUGACACUGAACACUGGUCCUUGAUGUGUAGGAUAGGUGGGAGGCUUUGAAGCGUGGACGCCAGUCUGCGUGGAGCCAUCCUUGAAAUACCACCCUUUAAUGGCUGGUGUUCUAACGUGGGCCCGUUAUCCGGGUUGCGGACAGUGUCUGGUGGGUAGUUUGACUGGGGCGGUCUCCUCCUAAAGAGUAACGGAGGAGCACGAAGGUCAGCUAAUCCUGGUCGGACAUCAGGAGGUUAGUGCAAUGGCAUAAGCUGGCUUGACUGCGAGCGUGACGGCGCGAGCAGGUGCGAAAGCAGGUCAUAGUGAUCCGGUGGUUCUGAAUGGAAGGGCCAUCGCUCAACGGAUAAAAGGUACUCCGGGGAUAACAGGCUGAUACCGCCCAAGAGUUCAUAUCGACGGCGGUGUUUGGCACCUCGAUGUCGGCUCAUCACAUCCUGGGGCUGAAGUAGGUCCCAAGGGUAUGGCUGUUCGCCAUUUAAAGUGGUACGCGAGCUGGGUUUAGAACGUCGUGAGACAGUUCGGUCCCUAUCUGCCGUGGGCGCUGGAGAAUUGAGGGGGCUGCUCCUAGUACGAGAGGACCGGAGUGGACGCAUCACUGGUGUUCGGGUUGUCAUGCCAAUGGCAUUGCCCGGUAGCUAAAUGCGGAAGAGAUAAGUGCUGAAAGCAUCUAAGCACGAAACUUGCCCCGAGAUGAGUUCUCCCUGACUCCUUGAGAGUCCUGAAGGAACGUUGAAGACGACGACGUUGAUAGGCCGGGUGUGUAAGCGCAGCGAUGCGUUGAGCUAACCGGUACUAAUGAACCGUGAGGCUUAACCUUACAACGCCGAAG
rnacentral:rRNA from 1 species